CGUAGUGGAUGCAGCGCCGGACGCCACAGCCGAAAAACAGAAUCUUGGAACUGGUUUAGUACAAUCCAGGUCGAGUUCCUUGUUUUUUAUCCGAGUGGCCGGCAGGCCCAUGUGCUCGCUUGUUUUUAACACAUCAGCUCUUGCCGGAAGCCGCUCAGAGAUAAAAUAGGAAGUCCCACCCUUCCCGUAGAGAAGGAAAACGGAGAGCCGAAGGAGUCAAUCUAAAUUCGAUGAGCGCGUCGGGCUCUAAGGCAGGCGCUGUCAGCCCGGGAGGGGCUCUGGGAUUUCUAGAGGGUCCCAGAACGGGUUCUUCCCGGGCCGAUCCCGCCUGCUUCCUGCCCCAUCUCUCCACCCGCCUCCCGCCCUCUGUGAGGGACCCCGAGGGCGGCGCCGGAAACACGGAGAAGGCCCAGAACGGCGCGGGACCCGAGAGGCCUAUGUUGGCAAACGCAGCCCGCUGCCCCUCUGCUCGCUUCUCCGGGGCCUGGAGUGGCUCCUGUCGCUUCUGGCGCUCCGAUUUGGAGAAAUGACUUUCAGCUGUGCAAGGCGAGAAUGCUACUUUAGAUGAUGAGAAAAAUCUCUCGAAUGGCUCCCAAAAUGAGCUCCUUGUUUCAGAGGCCACAGGAAGCCGCCAGCCGAACUCUGAUACCAAAGAGGAGGCCAAGAAGCGGAAUGUGGCUUGGUGACCUGUUUGGUAUUGCCAAACUUUCAGCUUUUAUUAAAGCUGAAACACCUUGGCUGUUUAAAACGUUCGACAAGGACUUUUUUGUGAACGUUAACGGCACAGCACACGGGCUUUUUUGGGAAAAAAAAAAAAAGGCAGGACUUCAGGAUGUGGUGGUUAACAGCCCCUACGCCCCCUUGUGCAGGUCCAUUCAUGAACCUCGAGUUAGAGGCCUUUCUUCUGAAACUCAGAAUCUAGUAGGGAGGACCUGUGUAGACGAAUAAAUACAUCACAGCUUGUUAAGCGCUGCUGUGACAAAGACGCAGUGAAAUCCUGCUUGAGGUCAUCUGCCUUGCUAAAGAGUUUUGACUAUGUUGUAGGCACAGGGUUAGGGUUAGACUCUGUAAUGGGAAGUUAUGUGAUCAGAUUUCUAUUUAGGAAGAUCAUUGGCCAGGCGGGGUGGCUCACGCCUGUAAUCCCAAUACCUUGAGAGGCCGAGUCGGUGGAUUGCUUGCGGCUAGGAUUUUGAGACCAGCCUGGCCAACAUGGUGAAACCCCGUCUCUACUAAAAAUUUAAAAAUUAGCCGGGCAUGGUGGUGCAAGCCUGUAAUUCCAGCUACUUGGAGGCUGAGGCGGGAGAACAGCUUGAACCCAGUGGCGGAGGCUGCAGUGAGCCGAGAUUGCGCCACUGCACUCCAGCCUGGGCAACAGAGCGAGAUUCCAUCUCAAAAAAAUCCUUUUAAGUAAUUGGAUUUUUUUUUUUUUGUAAUGUUUUGUAAUGUUUUUUGUAAUCAUCACUCAAGGCCAAUUCCAACACAAUUCAGUUUAAAUCAUAAUACAUUCAAGUGGUAAUUCCUUACUUUUUUAAAUAGUUCAUAGAAAACUUUUCGUAGACAUUAUCUGGUUUAAUUCUGAUUGUAAUCCACAUGAAUUCUCUUAUCCACAGUAAGGAACAGUAAUUUAGAAGACUAAUAAACUGUUCCAAGAUCACACAGCUAGUAAAAGUAGAACUCAACCUUAAACUCCAGAGUCAAGCUUUUCUAUCUAUCAUGUAGACUCAGUUUAAUAGUAAAUAGUUAAUUUAAAAUUCUAGAGAAAAAUGUGGAAAACAAUUUCCUCACAACGAGUGACCAGCUGCAAAUGUUAUUUUUAUUCCAUUAACCAACAUUUAUUGAGUGACUGUUAUAUAAAAGAUAAAACUGGGUUCUGCCUUCAAAGAGUUCACUUGAAAUUUAAAAUUUAUUUGAAAAUUUAGUACUUCCUACAGUGUUUUAAUAGCUAUUUCAACAGCGUUGGUCUUGUAUGACAAGGUGAUAAAUUUCUUGACAGUGACAAUAGCACAAUUCUGUAUAUGGAUUGGGCAUUCUGUGAUCUUUGGGUGAUUUAUCUUGCUACCUUUCUUACCUUGGGGGUUUAGUUAAUAUUUAUGUUCCUCCCCUGAGCAGUGAAGUAAAAUCUAAGUUUAUGUUUCAGUUCUAUUUUAAGUUGAGUAUUUUGAGUUACUAAGACAGGACCUUAAGGAAGUCAGUUUGACCUCAUUUCCAACUGAGAGAUUCCAUGGAUCUCAUUCAAGACUAAUUUUCUGAUUCUAAGGAAAAAGGGA